GACGAACGCUGGCGGCGUGCUUAACACAUGCAAGUCGAACGAUGAUGCCAGCUUGCUGGUGGAUUAGUGGCGAACGAGUGAGUAACACGUGAGCAACCUGCCCCUGACUGCGGGAUAACCGCGGGCAACCGUGGCUAAUACCGGAUAUGACGCACUAUCGCAUGGAGGUGUGUGGAAGGAUUUAUCGGUCGGGGGGGGACGGGCGGGCUAUCAACCUGUUGGUGGGGGGGUGGCCGACUUAGCCGGCGAUGGAUAGCCGGCCUGCGUGAGUGGGCGGCCAGCCUGGGUGGGACAGACGGCCCAGACUGCUUCCGGAGGGAGCAGUGGGUAAGAUAGCACAAUGGACGGAAGGAUGAUGCAGGGAGGACGCGCGAGGGAGGACUGCCGUCGGGUUGUAAAUCUAUCUCAGUAGCGAAGAAGGACGUCGGGUUGACGGUACCGGGAGAAGAAGCGCCGGCUAACUACGUG
rnacentral:rRNA from 1 species